UCGAACGAUGAAGCCGCUUCGGUGGUGGAUUAGUGGCGAACGGGUGAGUAACACGUGGGCAAUCUGCCCUGCACUCUGGGACAAGCCCUGGAAACGGGGUCUAAUACCGGAUACGACACAGGAAGGCAUCUUCUCUGUGUGGAAAGCUCCGGCGGUGCAGGAUGAGCCCGCGGCCUAUCAGCUUGUUGGUGGGGUGAUGGCCUACCAAGGCGACGACGGGUAGCCGGCCUGAGAGGGCGACCGGCCACACUGGGACUGAGACACGGCCCAGACUCCUACGGGAGGCAGCAGUGGGGAAUAUUGCACAAUGGGCGAAAGCCUGAUGCAGCGACGCCGCGUGAGGGAUGACGGCCUUCGGGUUGUAAACCUCUUUCAGCAGGGAAGAAGCGCAAGUGACGGUACCUGCAGAAGAAGCACCGGCUAACUACGUGCCAGCAGCCGCGGUAAUACGUAGGGUGCGAGCGUUGUCCGGAAUUAUUGGGCGUAAAGAGCUCGUAGGCGGCUUGUCACGUCGGAUGUGAAAGCCCGGGGCUUAACCCCGGGUCUGCAUUCGAUACGGGCAGGCUAGAGUUCGGUAGGGGAGAUCGGAAUUCCUGGUGUAGCGGUGAAAUGCGCAGAUAUCAGGAGGAACACCGGUGGGGAAGGCGGAUCUCUGGGCCGAUACUGACGCUGAGGAGCGAAAGCGUGGGGAGCGAACAGGAUUA
rnacentral:rRNA from 1 species